AUUGAACGCUGGCGGCAUGCUUUACACAUGCGAGUCGAACGGUAACAGGCCUUCGGGUGCUGACGAGUGGCGAACGGGUGAGUAAUGCAUCGGAACGUACCCAGAGGUGGGGGAUAACGCAGCGAAAGCUGUGCUAAUACCGCAUGUGAUCUGAGGAUGAAAGCGGGGGACCGAGCAGCAAUGUUUGGCCUCGCGCCUUUGGAGCGGCCGAUGUCGGAUUAGCUAGUUGGUGGGGUAAAGGCCUACCAAGGCGACGAUCCGUAGCUGGUCUGAGAGGACGACCCGCCACACUGGGACUGAGACACGGCCCAGACUCCUACGGGAGGCAGCAGUGGGGAAUUUUGGACAAUGGGCGCAAGCCUGAUCCAGCAAUGCCGCGUGCGGGAAGAAGGCCUUCGGGUUGUAAACCGCUUUUGGCAGGAACGAAACGGUGUCCGCUAAUACCGGGCGCUAAUGACGGUACCUGCAGAAUAAGCACCGGCUAACUACGUG
rnacentral:rRNA from 1 species